rnacentral:pre_miRNA from 1 species
GAUCUACUCCCUCCGUUUCGAAUUACUUGUCGCAAGUAUGGAUGUAUCUAGAUGUAUUUUAAUUCUAGAUACAUCCAUUUCUAUGACAAGUAAUUUGGAACGGAGGAAGUAGGUU